GCUGGCAAACCAGCUCUCCGAGAGGAAACUCAAAAUCCUUAUUGGUAGCAUUAGCCGAUCUCCAUGAGAGUCAUCACAGAUGUAAGAAGUUUCCAGAGCUCAGGAGACAUUCCUCUACCUGCACUGGUCCAUCUUCUGCCCACCCAACCAUCUGCCUCCCAAGGCUUGCACUCAACCAGGGCCACAAAUGGUGAAAACUGCAAUCCACCGAUUCACCGACGGGUACAACACGGCGCAGACCUCAGAAUAAAACCUGAAGACCUUCCAGGUAAGGGUUUUUAGGCUCUCAAAGGCACUCUGAGCU